AUGCAGCAGCAUAUAAAUAUUUUAAUAAAUAACUGGUUUUCUUUGAUAAAAUUAUUUCAGUAAUACGUUUCUCAGAGAUGGCAGGGUGAGCUAGCAUAUGGCUACAAACCAAAACGACUAUGUUGUCCUUCCAUUGUUGGAGGCAGUUUGCUUGGCCACUGCAAGAAGAGGAUGCUGGACUAGUUGGGCCAUUGAUCUGAUCCAACAGGACUCUUUUUAUUCAAGAAGACCAUUUUUUUUCUUUAUUGUUUCCUCUUCUCCCCUUGGUUUGAGGGUAAAAUAAAAGUUGAUGCUCCAUUCUAAGUCAGCUUUCUCUCUCUUCUAUGACGGUCUUGCUUAUUAGGCCACUUUGACUGAGUUUAUUUAUUUUUUUGCAUAGCACCGUGCACUGAACAGGAUCUGAAUUGAAGCCACCUUUGGGUGUUGCUUCCUUUUUAAGGAUUGCAGAGAAACCCUCUGUACAUGUGUGCACACUUAGGGGUCCAUGUAAUACCCAGUUCCUCACAUCCUCCCUGUCCAUCUUACUGAGAAGGGCAUUUUGCUCAUUAGAAUAACAAUGGUCCAUUUCCUUACCUGAUUUUUUAAUGGGUGAAUGGAAGUGAGGAUAUACUGACUUUUCUAUAAACACUUGGAUACAUUUCUGCUUUUGUCCCCCAAUUCUCCCUUCUCCUUCGUUUUGCUGCUCUUGCGUCUUCACCGUUCUGCACCUGGCAAAUCCCUCAGUGAUGCAAGCAGUUCUAGUCCCAGCUUGAACAAUGGGAAGAGUUCCCAAGGAAACCUGCAAAUUCAACAAAGAUAACCCCAAUGUGUCAGAAGCUCUACAGCGCGGAAUGGUAAUGCACUGUCCUUUCCAUCCAAAUUGGUAAGGGUAUCUAAUUAAUUUGGCAGAGUUUCCCAGCCCUCAAUUACGGCAUCUGUUGCAGCACAGAACAAUCCAGAGCAACCAUCUGUCUUUCUACAUGUAAAAUGAAUGGAUGAGCAAAGAUAUAAUUUUAUUUUAGCAGCAGAGGGUAGGAACAAGCAUGAUACCCAGGCUGAAGCUGUACACUUCAAAUUGUCAAGGUUAAUUACCAGAGAAAUAUACAGAGCUGCAUACUGGGCUGGAGUAGGCUUGGUGUUCCGUGCCAAAGCACAGUUGGAAGGAGAUUAGCAACGGGCAAGUUAUACAGGAUCAUACAGGUUUCGUUAUAUUGGAUGUAUAAAUCUCUUUACCUCUUCCAGCUAAUCAGUGCUCAUCCCGGUUGCCCACCUGAGGCCCAUCUUUCUGCCAAGAGCAUCUUGGGCAAGAGAAGCAAAGGGGAACUGUGCAACAUCCGCUGCGUCUGGAUGUAAACCCAGCAUUUGACUGCAGCUGACCCACUCAGGGACUUGGAAUUUAAGACCUGUUUCUGAUAGCACCCAUUUUGCAUGUGGAAGUGGAGAUACACAACAGCAGGCAUGGUUGUGUGUGUGUGUUUUGGGUUUGAUGAAAGCAUCUCUGUGGGGUGUAUGUAAAUAAGCAAUGAACUGUGGCUCCCGUACAGCAGAGGGAAGAUCAUGCGCAAACAGGUGCUGCGGAUGUGUCUCUCAGGGCGUGGGAACAAGGGUCUAAAAGGUGAAAAUGAGAGUGCAAACAUGAGGCCUUAUCAAACGGUUUUGAAGAGCAUCAAUAAUCAGUUCAGGCAAAGAACUGGAUUCAGUCCACUCGUGCAUCCACAUGUGGUUUUGAAGGUGAUUUUAGUGGGGCUUCUGCCUCCUGGCUCAGGUCUUUCUAGUUCUGGUAAACACAUGUGUUUCACUUGUUGGACCAAGGCGAUAGCUUCACCAUCCUCCAUCAUGAGCUCAGACAUGCAGUUGAAGGAGCUUUUGCCUUCAGAUGAGCAAAACAGGAAACCUCUGCAAGUGUAGUGUUUUGGUUUGUAUUGAUCAGAACAUGGGUAGGCAAACUAAGGUCCGGGGGGCAGAUCCGGCCCAAUCGCCUUCUAAAUCCGGCCUGUGGAUGGUACAGGAAUCAGAGUGUUUUUUCAUGAGUAGAAUGUGUGCUUUUAUUUAAAAUGCGUCUCUGGGUUAUUUGUGGGGCAUAGGAAUUCGUUCAUUCCCCCCCCCCCAAAAAAAAAUAUAGUCUGGCCCCCCACAAGGUCUGAGGGACAGUGGAAUGGCCCCCUGCUGAAAAAGUUUGCUGACCCCUGCUUUAGAAUAUACAAUGUGGUUUUCUCAGAUCUUCAGCUGUUGUCACUACAUACAUCUGCAGCAAGUGUUGCCAGAGAUGUUGAUGUUGUUUAAACAAUUUUCAACAAGAAGGAAUCAUUCCAAAGCUCAUGGUGUAUAAAAUAAAAUACAUAGGUUAUUUUCGUCAGGGCUACAUAAACCAGAAAACAAAACACAAACCGUUUAGAUUGCAAUCCCGUGGCCCCUGAAAGGGCAUCCUUGGGCGAUAGGAUACAUCAGAUUGCUUUAAGUGCUCAUGGAAAUUCAUCACCAACUUAGUGCAAAUUUCUCCCAAUACAGACAUUUUUCUAGGAAAUUUUGCCUAAUAAACAUGGUUUGCAAAACAAUUUCCCGUAAUAUAAGACACCUUUGUAUGUUUUAUCACUGAUAUAUGCAUUUUUAUGCACACUUUACCCUAGUAUAUGUAUUUUUGUACAGGUUACUUGAACAUAGAACUGCACUGCAAAAUUCUGAGGUGUGAAUUGCGAACGAUGGUCGGUGUUUUUUUUAGUUUGCAUAUUGUUUCAUAAAGUGCAAAUCUGGUAGGUUUGCUUUUAAAUUCAGCCAGAAGCAAAGGGCAGCAGGGUCAUGGCAAAAGCAGAAAAUCCCAGCUUGAGCUCCUUAGAGUUGCACUUAGAGUUGUAUGCCCAGACCUAUCAGGAAUGCUUUUAUACUGACAAUACCGGCACUCUUAGACCUUCAGUUCUCUUGUGUGUGUCAAACUGGAACGUCCCGAUUUAAAUUUUAUUCAGCCUUUAUUGAUUUUUUUUCUUUUUCUUAGCAAGGAGAAGGCAUGAUGUAUAUUCCUGUGAGCCAGAAGGAAUGGAGAAGCAUGAUUAAAAAUGACCUACUUUAGUAUGAUAAAUAAUACGUCAGAAAUUGAACAGAUGGACCCCUGCUGCUACAUUCAAGACUAAUUUCUCACCCUUCUUCAUGCUCAGGUUUGGUGCUAUAUUAUAACUGCAUCAUUCUAAGCCUUUCAGCUUGACCCAUCUGAUAGACAAUGGUUCCUGUAUUGAAUACAGUAUAUUCUCUACAGCCAUAUUUAUGCAUGGUUAUCUGUGUUAAAUCAAACUCACUGAGGGUGGCAUGGGGGUUCCCCUGUAACUGGUGGCUUCACCUUUGACUCUGAAAGAGUCUUCAAACUGCAUUCAGUUGAAUGCAUCAGCACACAGGCUUCUAUUGGAAAUGCUGAAUGUUCUUAGAUGCCUCUUUUACACAACGGGAAGUGAAGCUGGUGGGGAGGAGGACAUUGGCAGUGGCGUCCACCCCCCCUUUCCCCCAUGCAGCUUUAUUUCAGCACAGAGAACUUAAUGUAGGGUCCGCCAGCAUGGUGCCAGGGUGCCUGCUGGUAUCUCCUGUGGUGCCUGAGAAAUGUCUAAUUACAUAUCCCCUCAAAAAUCUACAUUGUGUUAAAGAUUCUUUGCUCUUCCUGUGCAGUUCCUGUUUGCACUGGCUCACCCUUUCGUACAUAAAACACUCUCUUAAAUAAGCCCACAUUUCAGUGGAUGCCAGCAUAUUCAGUGGACACUCUCUCUUCUGUUCUGAACAAAGAAGAGGUACACAGAGCUUCUCUUUUUGAAUGUUGCAUUGGCUGAUGUAGGCACCUUUUCCCUGUUGCAUGUGCCCACACUAAUUUGUGGUCCUAUCUCUUUUUCUGCUCCUUUAGGUGUGGAAGCCAUUUUGUGUUGCCCCACAUUCCCAUGGCAACCAUUUUGUGUUAUGCUACACUCCCAUGGCAGCCAUCAAAGUUCCAAAUGUGCCCACUGGCCACGAAAGGUUAGAAACCUUGAUAUAAUACCUGAAUAUUGCUACCAUUAUGUUUUUAUAUGUGUUGGAAGUCACCCAGUGUGGAUGGGGCAACCCAGCCAGAUGGGCAGGGUAUAAAUAAGAAAAUUAUGCUCAUCACCAUGUAUGUAUAUUGCUGGCACAUACUUAAAUUGUGCCCAUAGUGGUACCCAUUUGCCUGAUUGCCACUGAAAACCUUACUUUAUUAUUAGUAAUAACAAUUAAAUUUCUGUACAGUGGUACCUCGGGUUACAUACGCUUCAGGUUACAUACUCUGCUAACCCAGAAAUAGUACUUCGGGUUAAGAACUUUGCUUCAGGAUGAGAACAGAAAUCGUGCUCCAGCAGCGCGGCGGCAGCAGGAGGCCCCAUUAGCUAAAGUGGUGCUUCAGGUUAAGAACAGUUUCAAGUUAAGAACAGAUCUCCGGAACGAAUUAAGUACUUAACCUGAGGUACCACUGUACUGCCCUUCAUAUGAGAGUCACAGGUGGUUUACAAUAUAAAAACACAGAAAUAAAUAACAUAGUAACAAACAAAACAACAUCCCUCACUAUUUUGUGGCUACUAAAUUGUGAUAACUCCAAAUUUCAAGCAAUUUUGAGUCUUUUAUUUUUAUUUUUGGACAGCUGCAUUACUCCACACUGCAGAAUUCCAUAAUGUUUUUGUGCUAUUGUUCAUGAAGCUAUUGUUCAUGGCUUGUUUAAUGCAUGUUAUCUAGUAAACAUUCACUUAGGUUUGCUCACAAUUCAGUACAUCCUCCUUGAGAAUGAACUAUUCAAAUUAAUUAUAUUGCUAAUUAAAGGGAGAGAGAAAAAAGGACAGACAAAUUCCUUUCUGUAAGCUCCUUUUAGGUUAAAAAAAUACAGUAUGUAAUACUGGCAUGUGUCUUCUGAAUUACAUAAAAUGUUUAUUUUGAACUUAAUCUUUGAAAAUCUCUUUGGUGGGGAAGACCAUCACAAUCCAAAUGUAGGGUUACCAUACGGCUGGAAUUUCCCAGACAUAUCUGGAAUACCGCAACAACUUUUCUGUCCAGAUUUUCACUGUUUGAAUGGCAACCCUACCAAAUGCUAACACAAAAUAUUAUACUUAUUUCCUGAGCCAGAUUUCCCUUUCCUAUACAAAGAAUCAUGUCUGGUAGGUAUACCAGCUUUUCCUAACCUGGUGCUUUUAGAUGCAGGACUACAACUUCCAUCAUCACUUGCCAUUGGCCAUGCUGAUGGAAGUUGUCCAAAACAUCUGGAGUGCACCUGACUGAGGAAGGCUGGUGUAAACGGACUCAUUUAUAUCAGUAGAAUCUGUGCACACUUCCUGUGCCCCUCUCAAUUCAGUCCCCUCCAUAGGUGGUUUUCAGAAUUGAAAACACAAGUUGUCAUCUCCUAUCUCCACUAGUGCCAAGUGAAAUGUCAAAUUCUUCUGAAUACUUGUCUGUGGCAAAUUGGUCUGAGAAGAACUAAUGAUAAUGGACGGAAAGCGUGUUCUCCUUCAUGGAGAGCACGUGUUGCGGUGGGGUCUGCUGAGCCACCCCUCUGUUACCAGACAGGGUCUCUAAAGAUGGCCUGGGGCAGUGAUUGGUUCACUGGGUUGCUGGGGUAAAAGUUAUGUUGCAAUUUUGGUGUGAGGGGUAAAAUGUUUAAAUACUCUGCACGCAGCCUGGAGCUUUCUCUUUGCUGCGUGCAACGGAUCACCCGCCCACCCACCCUUGAGUAAGGGGUUGUUGCAUUGACCUUGCUAUGCCUGUCAUGGGGUCGUCUGCCAUUGGGGCAGGGGCCUGGUAGGAAUUUUGUCCAUCUGGCUGAUUGGCUGGGCCAUUUGGUUUUUGCCUACUGCGUAGCAAAUUGUCACAACUUGUAAGGUUGCGGUUAGGCAUUGGUUAUAAAUUGGUGGAGGAGGGGUUAGGAUAGGCUGGGCCUGCCCCUCCAUGGUUGCUGCGGAAAGGGAAUUCCGUUAAAGGAAUCCUGGGGCUUGCCAUCUUUUCGUCCAAUCCCUAGAAUGGGACUAGGGCUGGCAAGCCUUCGGGGAGCAUGCGGAUGAGAAUUGUGGGUCUGUGACUCAGCUCCAUUUCUCCCCGACUUGUUUUCCUGCACUGUCUUUCGGUGGUGCCCGGAAGUCAGUUCUGUCCCCAGGCGGGGGGACAGAUAGUCUUAACCAAUGCCUAAACAACCACUCACGGUUUCGUAUUUAAAUAAAGUUGUGGCCAAAAUUAUGCCAAAAACCUUAAACAAAAAUUAAGUGUGCGUUGUGAGUUAUUUGGGGGGUGGCUUGGGGACCUCGACACGCAACCCUCUGCCCCAUGUACAUGGACAGUGGUACCUUGGUUCUCAAAUUUAAUCCAUUCUGGAAGUUCGUUUGACUCCUGGAACAGUUCAAAAACCAAGGCAUGGCUUCUGAUUGGCUGCAGGAGCUUCCUGCAGCCAAUUGGAAGCUGUGUAAACCAUGUUGGUUGUUCGGCUUUCAAAGCACAUUCGCAAACCAGAACAGUCACUUCCAGGUUUGUGGCGUUUGGGGGCUGAUUUGUUUGACAACCAAGGCGUUUGACAACCAAGGUACCACUGUAUUUAAAAUCCACUUUGAGUCGUCCCCCCCAAACAAACAAUCAACCAGUGUAUAAAUUUUAUGAAAUAAACAUAACCUCUUGCUGUCAUAUGAGGAGUUUUGCAGGCCUGAGACCGCUGUGUUGAAAAAGGAUGGAAUGGAACUUGACACAGUUGAAUGGGCAUUGGAUCUAAUUGGUUGUCAUGUGGAAACAACCGCUUUUCAGUGCUAUCAUCCAGCUGGCAUGUGUCUUUAGUGCACAACUGGCAAAGUGGAACACAUCUUGUUGAUGAAGAUCCUCUUUCCAUAAAAAGUAACAAACCAAAAUCAUGGCAGAAAAAUAAUUGACACUUCACAUACAUUAUACAUUUGUACCAGUUCCAAAGAUGGUGUAAAUCCAACCUGUCAUGGCACAUCUGGAAAAUACGUUUUCCUUAUUGCUCUGAAAAUAAUGUUGGAAGUGCUUUUAAUGUAACAUAAACUAUGGCCUACAGGCAAAGGAUUCUUAAGUCUGUCUUCCCAAGAGUAGCAAAACUGUUGGCAGAGGUCUCCUUUUAUGCAUUUUGGCUGCUUACUCUUGUAUACAAGGACCCAGGCAGAAUCAGGGAAGAAUUUGUUGUUUGUGCUUAGCAGGAAAGGGUUAAAAAGUGCUUUGUGUGUGCCUGAUUCAUGGGGGAUUUAAACUGCAGGAAACAGAGCAGUGGUGCAAUGUAGAUAAUUUUAGACUCUGGACUCUGGUGCUACUUUGUGUGUGUUGCAGGGAAGUGCUCUUAGGUGUAUUACUUCACUUCAGAUUGUGGCAAGCCAGCUGUACUAUAUUGGGGGGGGGGGGCUUCCUGCUCUUUCUGCAGAGGGGAGCCAUGGACUUCUGCCUGGAAGUCUUGUACUGACAGCACCAUUGCAGCAGAAUUAAUGCUGGCUGGGCCUUCAGCCCUAGCUGCUGUUGUAACCUGUAGCCUAACCACCAUCCAGAUGCAAAGAAAAGGUGCAUGAAUGUGCACGCAAGGACUGAUGUGAUUUAGUACCCGCCGACUAGUUUUCCAUACAUAGUAGUGAUUGGAUUGGGUUCCACAGGGUGGAUGUUUCUAUCUUCCCAAUGUGAGAAUGGACAAUGGCAAAUAACUGGAGUGCAGACAUGAGUAUGAUGCGUUGCCUGCCUAAGGUAUGAGCAGCUAGAAUACAAAACAGGAAUACACUGGAACAAGUAGGAGGCAGCUGUUUAUUGUGGAAGAUGCAUACAUUUUUGGCCGAUGUAAUCUGCUGAAAGCAUGCAGGUGAAUGAGCUGUUGACGGUAUGACAUUAUUAGGACCAGGAGUGCCAAAGUUGAUGGAGGGCCAGAGCUAGAUUUGGAGUUUAUUCCCUAACUGUUGCUUGGUCAAGUUCUGCUGAUCGGAGAUGCUAAUUUUGAAAUCAGUAGGGGGAUCAUUUCACAUGGGUGAAAGGCCUGCUUUGAGAUAUAUUCAAGAGUCAAGAUUUGAUUCUAGUCACACUUAUGUAGGAGCAAGCCUCACAGUACACAGUAGGGUUUGCUUGCUGAGUCAACAUGUGUAGGAUUGUGCCUAACUUGCAAAAAAGGAGAGGUCAUUUUUUUCUAGCUCCAUAUCCUUUGGCCUUCUUAAAUAGCAUCUCUGCAGUUGGUCAGUAGCUGUUUCAGAUUGGGCCUUCUCCCAGAUAACACCUAAGAGAAUUGUAAUGUUUGAGUCUUGAGUAUACAGAUGAUAACUUGUCAAAUUCAAUGGGAAAGUAGGAUGCUGCCAGGAUAAAGAUAUCCCUAUAGCAGCCGCUUGAAUUCUGUGAAACGCAGUAAACAGAACUGGGGAUGGAAGCAUUAUAGUUUAUAUCAUAUGUCUGGAAUUAUUACUUUGGCAGGAGUGAGGUGGGCGCAGGUGGCAUUCAAAUGCCCCAUUAGGUGCAUGAGCAAAUUCAUACUUGGCAGUUAGCUGCCCUCUGUCAAACUGCAGUUUAAGGUUUGUGAACACUAAAUGCUGCUGUGGCAGCCACUCACACGUCUACAGGCAUUCAAGUCUUGGGAGCUUGCAUUUUAUCUAUGAUCAAGUUCAACUCGGUAGGCAGACACAAGCUCCCAAGUCCAUUCAUUUCAUGUGUGUGUUUAUCAUUUUUGAAUACUCAAGUCUGGCUCCCCAUGACAUUGUGCUUGUUGCCAUUUAUUUGAAUGCUUUAAAAAGACAUAUAAAAAAUUGUUCUGUUGUAUUUUAUUGGGAAUCAAAUGUGGGGCACCUGCCAAUAAGAGAAAAAAAAAACCCUUUGGGUACAAUCUCUCUCUCUCUCUCUCUCUCUCUCUCUCUCUCUCUCUCCAAACCCCACUUACAAUAUUUUUCUUAUUUAAUCAUGGAAUGUCCCACUUUUCCUUAGGAUGUCCAUAUUUUCAAUGGUGAAAAUACGGACAUGACCUCAGUGAGGGUAUGGCCUUAGUGACUUCCAGGAUACACAUGACAGGGUCCUUUUUGCAUAACCCCAGGGGAAGCCAUGCCACAUCAAGAUUGGGGCCAAUGUCACAUAACUGUGGAAUGGGGCCAUGGGUGCAGUCUCACUGCCCCUUUCUUUGAGAGGCCUUUGGUUGCUUGUCUGGACCAGACUUAGAAUCAUAGAAUCAUAGAGUUGGAAGAGACCACAAGGGCCAUCGAGUCCAACCCCCUGCCAAGCAGGAAACACCAUCAGAGCACUCCUGACAUAUGGUUGUCAAGCCUCUGCUUAAAGACCUCCAAAGAAGGAGACUCCACCACACUCCUUGGCAGCAAAUUCCACUGUCGAACAGCUCUUACUGUCAGGAAGUUCUUCCUAAUGUUUAGAUGGAAUCUUCUUUCUUGUAGUUUGGAUCCAUUGCUCCGUGUCCGCUUCUCUGGAGCAGCAGAAAACAACCUUUCUCCCUUCUCUAUGUGACAUCCUUUUAUAUAUUUGAACAUGGCUAUCAUAUCACCCCUUAACCUCCUCUUCUUCAGGCUAAACAUGCCCAGCUCCCUUAGCCGUUCCUCAUAAGGCAUCGUUUCCAGGCCUUUGACCAUUUUGGUUGCCCUCCUCUGGACACGUUCCAGUUUGUCAGUGUCCUUCUUGAACUGUGGUGCCCAGAACUGGACACAGUACUCCAGGUGAGGUCUGACCAGAGCAGAAUACAGUGGCACUAUUACUUCCCUUGAUCUAGAUGCUAUACUCCUAUUGAUGCAGCCCAGAAUUGCAUUGGCUUUUUAGCUGCCGUGUCACACUGUUGGCUCAUGUCAAGUUUGUGGUCAACCAAGACUCCUAGAUCCUUUUCACAUGUACUGCUCUCAAGCCAGGUGUCACCCAUCUUGUAUUUGUGCCUCUCAUUUUUUUUGCCCAAGUGCAAUACUUUACAUUUCUCCCUGUUAAAAUUCAUCUUGUUCGUUUUGGCCCAGUUCUCUAAUCUGUCAAGGUCGUUUUGAAGUGUGAUCCUGUCCUCUGGGGUGUUAGCCACCCCUCCCAGUUUGGUGUCAUCUGCAAAUUUGAUCAGGAUGCCCUUGAGUCCAUCAUCCAAGUCGUUGAUGAAGAUGUUGAAUAAGACCGGGCCCAAGACAGAACCCUGUGGCACCCCACUAGUCACUCUUCUCCAGGAUGAAGAGGAACCAUUGAUGAGCACCCUUUGGGUUCGGUCAGUCAGCCAGUUACAAAUCCACUGAGUGGUAGCAUAGUCAAGACCGCAUUUUACCAGCUUCUUUACAAGAAUAUCAUGGGGCACUCCUCCUUUCUUGUCUGGUCUGUUUCUCUGAAAUAGAUUGUAUGCCUCCAUUAUUACAUUCCAAUCAUGGGACUUAUCCCACCAGGUUUCAGUGAUGCCUGUUAUGUCAAGAAUAUCAUGGGGCACACUUGACUACUGAGAAUUCUAAUGGCUCCCUCAAAGACAGCCAGAGGAAGCUAGAGGGGAUUGUACAGCUAUCUGUGCCAUCUCUUCUUUAUCUUUUCUUUCAUUGGCAGCUGAUUGUGGUUGCUCUUCCCAAAAACUCAGAAAAAAUAGCCACUAACUGAGAGAGAGAUAAGUGUCAACAGCGGAGAAAGGUGGUUAGUGGACCUACGAGAAACAUGAAUGAAUACUGGAGAAAGGUGAUCAAUGGGUCUACAAUCCCUUCCAACUUUCUCCUUGAAGAACCUACAUAAUUCUCAACAGUCAGAGUCUUGCUCUUCUUCAGAACAGUUUCAUGUGAUGAGGUGACACGCAGCCAGGGUCUCUGUAAAGGGAAGCUACAGUGGGUUAGGAAGGCAUUGCCAUCUUCCAACCCUGUUGAGGUCCCAACUAAAAAGGAUGCAGAAAGUUAUCGUUACAGGGCACAAUGAGACAUCCCACAGGGAAGUGUUGCAGAAAAUUCUUCUGGUCCAGUUAAGAUAAAUCAACCUGACAAUGUCAGAAGUGAAUAUCAGAUACUUGCUGGUACAAAGGGAGCGGAAAGAAGACAUCUCUUUAGGGACAAGAGAGGUAGAAACAAAACAAAAAACAGAAUGUCAUCUGAUACCAUAGGACAGCCGACACCAAGUCUGAGGUCGAGUCAUGUCAGCUAAAGACAGCUCUGAAAUCUGGCUAGGAGGUUUGCUUGAACCACUUUCUUAGGCAAUCAGUGAGAUUUUGGAAGCAAGCAGGCAGAAGGAGGUUAGAUAUUGACUGCUGUCUUGUUCUGCAAUUAGGAACCUAUGAGCUGUGAGUAUUGGCAGCAUGAUAUUCCAGGGCCCAAGGAUUCCCCUAGACUUCCAAUAUCUUGCCCCCCAACAUGUCUGGCCCUACAGGGUUAACUUGCCUCUCCCGUACCCAGUACCUUCCUUAUUUCAUGCAUUAAGUCAAAACAUGAACAAGGAGCAAGUUAGUGUCUAGAAACUCAUGCUUUGCGAAUGGAGUUUACCUGAACAGAGGUGUAGCUAUGUGGAGAUUUUCCACAGCUGGUCAGGGAGCUCUGUGAAGAACCUCCUAAGAAUUCUCAGCACCAUUAACAAACUACAGUUCCCAGGAUUCUUUUGGUGGAAGCCAUGACUGGUAUAAGAGUGCUUUAAAAGUAUGUUGCAGAUGUGACACCUUAUUUUAUUGACCCAUGUGAAGUGGAGAUAAGCAGGAGGGUGGAGCAGGCAAUAAAAUGAGCAUUCUGGGGUUUGCAUCUUGGAUCACCCCAGAGCAAAUAUUAAGGAAUGGGAAGUUAGGAGGACAAAGAGAUUUCCUUCACCAUCCUAUAUAUACACACCAGCAUAGUCUUGUCACAGGGCUGGGUGGGAUGUUUAAAUAGUUAACAAGAAGUACUGUGAUUAUGUAAGUGUGUUUUAAAAUCUUGGAGUGAGCAUGAAGUCUCAUUCCUAAGGGCAUAAACUAACUGCUAACCAAGGAGGAGGGGGAGAAAAAACACACACCAUCCCUUGUGGCGAGGUCAUUCUAUAAAUGCCUGCUGCCAAGUCUGUAAAGUGCUCUGGAAGCUUUGGAUGAAAAAGAAUUCACAAGUAUUUGGGGAAGCAGGGAGGGGGGGAAAAGAUGCUGAAUGGCCUAUUAGGCAUCCUAUUAGGUCUUUCCUUCCAGUCUCAGAAUGUCAGUUGAGUUGUUUACAUAGUGCCGCACCAAAAUUGUACAGCAAAAAGGAAAAAAGAGAUACCCGAGUUUUAUCACAUGGCCAUAGGAGCCAACUCCUAGGGGCUGAGGUCCCCCCCUUGAAAUAUUUGAGGGGGCCACUUUCCCCACCCCCAAAAAAGUUGAUGGGCAUUGUCAUUCAAAUGGUAUGCAUGUGUCACGUCAUGUGAUCAAUAAUUUGGGGUGGGGCUUACCUGUCUUACAAUGUUUUAUUCAGGUUGGCGCUCAACUGCAACUUAUUCGUAACAUUUCAAAGGCAUUCAAAUUUGUAAAAGCAUGAGGUAAACAGUUCGACAAGGAGACCUCAGUUGUGAGUUAACAUGUAAAGGAUCGGGCUGUAGGUCACAUAUACAACAGAGCAACGAAAGAUUCUUAUUGAAUGCUGCUUGUAGGUAGGCAUGUUUCACAGGAAAUCAUUAGUGCACUGAUUUGAUUUGAAUGUGCUAACUUAUUUCCCAUAAAGCUCCUGGAAUUUGGGGCAAACAAUGAGCACUUCUGGUGGAAGAUUAGCACAAGGUACUUAGGAACGGCUGAACUGGAGGUUUAGCCGCCUCAAAGUAAUCUCAAGAAAUAUAUAAACUCUGGAAUGAAGCUAAUUAAAGCCUCCAAAAUCCUUAACCCUACCACUUCUGAGAAGGGUUUGGGAAAUCUUUAAGAUCUUUAGAGAGAAUUUAGUCUAGGUGCUCAGCUGAAAAGAGCACUGCUGAGAGACCCACUUCUUUGGGAGAAUUUACUACAAGAAAAGGGGUGGGUGGGAAAACUGUUUGGAUGAAAGAGUAUAGGUGUUGGACUGUCCCAUAUGUUUUCUGAGGAUGUAGAAGGGAGAGAUUCUGCCUCCAAUGAGCAGAUUCCUUGCUCCAUUGUUUUAGGCCUGUUUAACAGCUUAAUCGUAGCCUUAUGCUCACUUUCAAAACAACACCCAAAUGAUGAAAUGCCUUCACUGACAGCAGUCCCCCAAGGUCCCAGGCAUGCGUCUUUCCCUUCAAGAUCCUUUAACUAGAAGAGCAUGCAAAACAUGUGCUCUCCUGCUGAGCUAUGGCUCCCUCCUGCCUGAAAGAGAAAGAAGAGGGCAGCCAUUGGUUAACCAGUGCCACUUUUCAAUGGGAAGGGAAUCACAGGCUGUGAGGCCUGAUGUGGCCUUCAAUAUCUCUUUGUAUGGCCCUUGGAACUUUUUCUAGGCUACAUUUCCUCCCCAGCUACACAGCCCUCUUUACCAGUGGCAUCGCAACGGGGGUCGGGGGGGGCAGUGCGCCCCGGGUUCCACAUCUGGGAGGGUGACAAGGCGGCACCCCGCGGGGUGCUUGCCCUGCCGCCCUGGCUUGGGCAUUGCGGCGGGAGCAGCCAUUGUGCCACUGCAGCUGCAUUUGGAGGAUCCUCCGUUGGCGGCUGCAGCCACAAGCAGAGGAUCCCAGUGCUGGUGGCAAGCCACGAUGUACAGCACAUGUGCGGCGUCACACGCAUGUGUCACACAUAACAACACCACACAUGCACUGUACAUAGCAGUUUGCCACCAGUGCCACUUGAGCGCUGUACGGAUGGCGGUGGGAUCCCUCUGUCACCGCUACAGCCGUGAAAGGAGGAUCCUCCGUUCGCGGCUGUAGCUGCAAGCAGAGGAUCCCGGCACCGUCCAUACGGCGCUGGAGCACUGCUGCCGGCAAACCACUAUGUACAGCGCAUGUGCGGCAUCACUACGUACAGCGCAUGCGUUGUACAUAAUGACAUCGCACAUGCACCCUAUGUAGCAACAACCCGCCCUGGGUGUCACGACGCCUUCGUUAGCACCUGCUCUUCACGAGCCACAUUGACACUGGCUUGCAGCGUCCUCAAGUGUUUUCACCUGGGUGGAACGUAUGCUUGAAUUCUUGCUUGCUUAGAUGGAGGAUAGCUAAACUUGACCUUCAUUUCUCGACCCUGUCUCUGGCCCUGCCCAUCACUGGCAAGUGGGGUUGCUGGGAAGGUCUUCUAUCUUAAAAAGAAAAAAGGUUCCCCAUCCCUGUCUUAGGAUGUCACUUUUAAACCACACCUGGAGCAGCAGUGAUACUUGACUUUACUCUGACUAGCUGAAGAAAAGCUUUCUGAAAGUAAUGACAAGGCAGGUCUUUGAUCAUAAUUUGUAAUACGCCUUUGUUAUGCUGGUCCCUUCCAUAUACUUUGGCUCUCAUCAGCCUCUGGCAUGCUUGCACCAGUGUGGCUUUUCUGAGGGAAUAUGGAAAACUAACAAUGCACAAAAAAACCCAAUAAUACAGAUAUACUCUUUGGGAAGGACAAAAUAAAUACAGACACAAUAAACAAUAGAUAUACUAUAUCUUAAUAAGCUAUUGCUCCGUGGUAUUCUUUUUUAAAAUUGUACUUACCACAAUGAGAAGCAGCUCAGAAUUCUGCUUUUGAUCAAGCAAGGUAGCCCUAGAUUUCCACAAUCUCAAAAUAAACAGUUAUGUGUUUGUGUUAUAGACAAAUCUCUGAAUAUAAGACGAUUAGGGGCAACCUAAUCAGGGAUUAUUGUUAAUAAACUUGAACUAAGCCACACGUGGUUAGGUAGCAAGAAAAUGACCCAGUAAUAUGACAGCUCCCGUGGAAAUGAAAUCUUAAAUACAAAAAUAAAAUUAAAAAUGCACAUACCCAGAUAUACUCUCUCUAUUCAAGUGGCAUAAUCAUGCACUGUGAUUAUGAAUAAUAAAUAACAAUAAUUAUAUUUAUAAAGCAGCCUGCAUAUACACUAUGAUGGCACUUGUGAUUCAAUGAGCUGUUUCAUCAAGCAGAGUAUGAUUAAAUGAAAGAACACUUAUUUUAAAAGGACAUUUUAGAAAACGAAACGGGGAAGGGAAAGGAUGAAAAGCAUAUCUGUACUAUUUUAUAUUUUCCAACCCUGUUGUUUCUUUAGCCAUUGAUUUGUCCAGGCCACUGGACUUGCCUGUUCUUAUAUAACCUUUGACCCAGUCACAGAGCUAUACAUGCCCUCCAAUUGUAUACAUGUCUACUCAGAAGUAAGCAGGCCUACUGAAUUCAGGGGGACUAACUUCCAGGUAAGUCUGCAUUGGAGAGAACAGAAAAUUUACCAGUCUGGGGGUGGGACUAGUGCCAUGUUGAAUUUUGGGGAUGUGUAAAAUUUUAGCUGCAAAAGUUGUUUUUGGGUGGCAAUACAAAAAUGUUCACAAACCUUGCACUCUGCAUACAUAGGAGACCAUCUCAUUUGAUUAAUGUGCGCUAGGGCUUUUUCUGUGGUGAUGCCCCAAAAGUGGAAAACUAUCUCUCAAGAGAUUAGGCUAUCACCCUCUCUUUUACAUUUAAACACUGUUAAUUGAAAAGAUUCAUGUUUAAAUAAGCUUUUGAGUCUGUUACUGCUUGAUGUGUUGAUUUUGAGACCUGCAAUUUGCGUGUUGUUGUUUUGGCUGCUGUCUCUAGUUUGAUCAUUUGUGUUGGAUCGCAGUUGGUUGUUUUGUGAAGGGGAGAAGUAGGGUACAUUUUAAAUAAAUAAAUACACAAUUAUAGCCGUAGUCACUAGAACUAGGGAGUUGGCUAAAAAUAUAGGUGCUCUGUAGGUGAAUUUACAUUUAAUUCGUGGAAACCCCACUUCCAAAUUGGGCCCUCUGCACAUAAAAACUUCUGUAUAAUGUCUUGUUUCACUAGCAGAAGAGGUUUUGGUUUUUAGCACAUGUUGCCUAUUCAGGCGAGCCAGUUUGUCUCUGGCAAUUUUUUCUUUUUUUCUUUCAAUAUUUGAUUUGCAAAGGGUUGAAAUAAUUAUAAAGAAUUGUUAUGCUCAAGAGACUCUGGACUUACAAUACUAUAGAACUGCCAUUUACUAGGAUUUUUAAAGGACAUCAUUACAUAAAUAUCUAGUGUGGCAGUGACUCUUCUUUUUUCAACUGCCCUUGAAACUUGAGCUUCUAUGUAAGCACAGGGCCAGGACUAGCUUUGUCUGAAGAUUAGCAGUCAAUCAAAGAGCCCCUACAGAUUAAACCUGCAUCAAGGUAGACCUGAUCUACCUUGGUAUUUGGUAGGAAACGGCUCAGUCCAUAAAUUCAAAGAGGGAAAACAGAAGGAUAGCAGCUGGCGAAAAAAGAUUACUUUUCUCAUUCCACAGUACAUCACAUUGUACUGCAGCUCUCAAAGUGAGAACAAAUUAUGACUAAAUGUUCAGUGACUGAGGGAUUAGAGAGUUCAAUUUAAUAAACAGGCAGAAGCCCUGGUAAUUCCUAGUGAAAAGAGACUUUAAUAACUCGCUUUGGAUACGUUGAUAACAGGAAUAGGCGAGCGCUAUAAUAGAGACAGAGUGAAAAGUGACGGUCAUUUUCAAACUUGCUACUUUGCCGAAUGAUUGAAUCUCAAUCAUUCAAGUCCAAUGGGCUCUUGAGUCUGAUGGAACAGGGAAGCAGCCAUCACUAGGAAUAAUGUACUUGUAUAAAUAACUUUUCUUAUCUCAUGAAAAGUUCCUGUUUGAGAAGCAGUGCUUUAGUCUUCCUUGUUGGGUACAAAACAAAUAUAUAUUCUCGUGCACUUAUUUUUUUCAAAAUGCUUCCAGAUAGCUAAGGAAGGAGAUGGCUUACAUUGUUAACGUAAUAUGUACAAAUGUGGGUCCAGUGGCUUUAUUUGUACAUUCAAAAUUUGGCCUUCAUUCAAACCGCACUUGAUUAAAGCUUUGAAGCCUUACUACUUUUAAGCAUUAAGCAAAUGAUCUGAAUAUGUAUGUACAGCAGGGCGGGUCCAAGACAUGUUACUACCUGAGGUGCAGCAGCAAAUGAUCUUCAAUCUCCCUCAAGAGUCAUGCCGUUUUGUAUCCAAGGUGGCUGAGACAGAAAAUUUCACAAUCGAGUAUUUGCGCAAUCCCUUCCUGGCUGUAAAAAUACAGCAACAGUAAAUUUCAUAGCUAAUGAUAUGCUCCCCUUUCAUGAUACCGCAAAUCAGCUGCCUGAGGCAGUUGCCUCCCUCUGCCUAAUGGUAGGGCCAGCUCUGUCUCACAGCAAACCUGUUCUGUGCCAUAUAUUGGGUGAAGGUUUGGGUACCAUUUCCAAAAUCUUAGUCUUAAAGUAUUUAAACGCAGGCAGCAGAAAAAUAAAAUCCUCUUGUUUUUAAAAUUAAGGACUUAAAAACCAAAACUCAUUUGUCUAGAAAUGACGGGGAAGGGUCAGAGCAUCUUCUAUGCAUGCAGAAGAUUCCAGGUUCAGUUGUUGGCUGGGAGAGAAUUCUGCCUGGAAUCCUGGAGGGCUGCUGGCGGCCACUGCAAAUGAUACUGCGCUUGGUGGGCCAAUGGUCUGACUCAAUAUAAGGCAGCUUCUUAUGCUCCUAUUCAAUUAUUCUUUCUAGCUAUACAUACGUUCAAGAAAAUGGUUUGCACAAUGUGCUGUGGAAACAGGAGGUUCAAUAGCCUGCAGUCCUUUCCCCCCCAAUUAUGCCAGGUUAAGAUUGCAUAUGAUUUGGCCUAUGCACUUUGGACUUUGUGCUCGUAGGCAUAGCUGAUAUGUCAGUUCUAAUGUGCAGAGGAGUGCCAGGUUGCUAGGCUGGUAUGAGCAGAGGUGAGGCAGGCUUGGCACCAGAACAGAAUUGUCUCCCCUGCCCCAUACUGUACUCUUACUUGCAUAUGAAUAGGGUUAGUGUAGAUCUGUGUUGCAUAAUUUACAUAUUAUGCAAACUGUUUCCUAAUGAUGCACACCUUCUUCUGGUUUUGUUUGGGAAAUGUACUAGUUAGAGGUUUUUGAAUGUCUUAACGAGAUAACGCAUCUGGAUGCAAAUCAGUGGCGCACAAGGCUUCAGCAUGCAGCUGAGCACAGACUUAGGCUGGGAGUGUGUCUGAGAAGGCAACUGAAACUCUGAGCUUCCCUACAAUCUGAGGUGGGCUUGUUAUGGGGUUCAGAGUUCAGUUUCCUCAGAAUGAAGGUCAGCAGAGACUGGGGAGGUGGGGGAAGCCCUCUGAACACUUGAGGGUGCCUGGCCUCUUCAAAUAACAACAAAAAACUACUGGCCCCUAGGACCUCUAAAAACUAUCUGUAAUUGCAAGUAAAGUCUUGUAAGAGAUAACCUCACAGUAAUAACAUUCUUUCGUAUCCCUGUCUCAUCCCUUCCGUCGCCCAUGCCUACUAGUGCUAUGUGCUACAUUUUGUGACUUCAAUUUGCUCUGAUUUCUGAGUUGUUGUUUCUUCCAUCUCUGUCAGGAACGCUUCUAACAAUAAUAAGCCCCUGACAGUUUGCACUACUGCUAAGUAACUUCACUUCGCAUACCUCAGCUACUUAAAGCUAACAAGCCAUGCGUGUUUCUCUCUGCCAAAAUUCCUCCACAACAUUACAAAACUAUUUCCAGUAUCCUUCAAAGCUUUAGGAGGCAGGGUGUGUUUCUGUGUGCCCAAUGAGCUGAUGGCGGGCAUUCGGGCCCUGGUCAAAUUGCCACCUUUGGAACUUUAAAUAAAACUACCAGAUGCUAAUUCUUGCCUUUUAGUUGUGUGGUUUUUAAUUGUUCCCUUUUGUUUUGCAUGAAACUCUAUGGGUAUCGCUGUGCUUGCAUUUUCACAGGCAAGUCAGCGCAGCUGUGAACUAGUGUAUAAUUGCAUCUUUAAAAAUAAAAUUCCAAUGUUUUUGAAACAAAUUCAACAAACCUGCCUUCCCCUACCAGAAUUAUGGGGGAAGUUAGGAGGGUCAUUAAUGAAAUCCACAGUCAAAUCGUACCAUUUUAAAAAUAGUAGGUAAAAGGGGACUGUAGUAAAAGCUAAGGGGGCUUCCCUGCCCCUAUAAUUCAAGCCCUGCCUUGUCUGCCACAUUCAGAAUCCUCUGUGGAAAUCACAAUUCGAAAAAUGAAUUGUUUGUGUCUGUUGCAUUGCUUGAGAACUUCAAUGUAACUCAAGUUGAAAAGUUUUGCUGGGUUCUUUCAUAAUAAAAUAUGUCAUGAAACAUUAAAGCAGGGUUUGUUUAAUUGUGUGUCGUUUCUUGCGUAUUUGGUCCUUUAGGCAUUAUAAACAGCAAAAGCCUGUCUCUUCCUUUCUCUCUACAGACACUUGGAACGUUUCUCUUUGCAAAACGAGCGCUCCCUUUCCAUAAAAAAUGAAAGCCUUGCAACCAGCACCAGGGCACUCAAAUAUCAUUGGAGAAUUGAAACCUGUCACACUGCAUUCCAUAAUUUUCCAGCAUCACAGGAAUGAUUCACCCUGAUUGAGACUGCAGGCAAGUGACAAAAUACUGCUGUAUUAGCCAAAUAAUUUAAAAAAGCAAUUUUUGCUUGUUUUGUCUCAUUUUUAAUCCAUCC